CUCGAAGAGAGGUAAGCUAACAGCUACAUGCUAAUUGGCUAACUCCCUAAAGCCCUGAAGAGAAGUAAGCUAACCGCUACAUGCUAACUCCCUAAAGCCCUGAAGAGAGGUAAGCUAACCGCUACAUGCUAACUGGCUAACUCCCUAAAGCCCUGAAGAGAAGUAAGCUAACCGCUACAUGCUAACUGGCUAAAGCCCCGAAGAGAGGUAAGCUAACCGCUACAUGCUAACUGGCUAACUCCCUAAAGCCCUGAAGAGAGGUAAAAGCUAAACAUUAACAUCCAUGUUGUUGAUGGAUAAAUGUAAGUCCUCUCAUCCAGUGUCUUUGAUAACCGCUACAUGCUAACUCCCUAAAGCCCUGAAGAGAGGUAAAGCUAAACAUUAACAUCCAUGUCCUCUCAUCCAGUGUCUUUGAUAACCGCUACCUGCUGGGGUUUUUGCCACCGGAGUAGAAUGUCAUAGCCAUUGAAAUAGAAUGAAUAGACCAGACUUGGAAGCUCUGCCACAUACAUAGCAAGGCCUGUUCUACUCAUUCUAGUUCUGUGACUAUAGAAAUGAGAAGUAAAGAUGAAUGAAAGUGUGUGUUGCUCUUCCCUG